rnacentral:rRNA from 1 species
AUUGAACGCUGGCGGCAGGCCUAACACAUGCAAGUCGAGCGGAUGAAGGGAGCCUGCGCCUGGAUUCAGCGGCGGACGGGUGAGUAAUGCCUAGGAAUCUGCCUGGUAGUGGGGGAUAACGUCCGGAAACGGGCGCUAAUACCGCAUACGUCCUGAGGGAGAAAGUGGGGGAUCUUCGGACCUCACGGGAUCAGAUGAGCCUAGGUCGGAUUAGCUAGUUGGUGGGGUAAAGGCCUACCAAGGCGACGAUCCGUAACUGGCCUGAGAGGAUGAUCAGUCACACUGGAACUGAGACACGGUCCAGACUCCUACGGGAGGCAGCAGUGGGGAAUCUUGGACAAUGGGCGAAAGCCUGAUCCAGCCAUGCCGCGUGUGUGAAGAAGGUCUUCGGAUUGUAAAGCACUUUAAGUUGGGAGGAAGGGCAGUAAGUUAAUCCCUUGCUGUUUUGACGUUACCAACAGAAUAAGCACCGGCUAACUUCGUG